rnacentral:rRNA from 1 species
UGCCAGCAGCCGCGGUAAUACGUAAGGUCCGAGCGUUGUCCGGAAUCAUUGGGCGUAAAGGGUACGUAGGCGGAUAAGCAAGUUAGAAGUUAAAUCCUAUAGCUCAACUAUAGCAAGCUUUUAAAACUGCUCAUCUUGAGGUAUGGAAGGGAAAGUGGAAUUCCUAGUGUAGCGGUGAAAUGCGCAGAUAUUAGGAGGAAUACCGGUGGCGAAGGCGACUUUCUGGCCAUAAACUGACGCUGAGGUACGAAAGCGUGGGUAGCAAACAGGAUUAGAUA